AGCUGUUCUCCAAUUUCCUUGGGAAACACGCAGAAUUAUUUUUUCAGUAGCAAGCCUUACUGUCUCAAAACAGGCACCAGCACCUCAGAUGGCCUGGCUUGGGACUAGAGGGACAACUCAAAAGGCCCACGUAUCAAUAUGCCACAUGCGGGGCAGACACUUGCACACAUCUGCACCUCCCCCAGGGGCUGAGGCCAAGCCAAGCAUCCCACAUCAGCAAGAUGAAUAGCUGGUCUGACUUUGCAGCAGCUCUGUCUCCCACCUCAGAAGAGCCCUAAGCACAGACUGCCCAGCUGAAAAGCCCAUGCAAACUACAGCCACUCAGAGGGUGGCAAGUGGCCCCAGGGCAGCAAGAUGGAGUCAGGCCGAGAAAUCACCCACCUUCAAGCUCGGGUCUUCAAGUUCCACAAUUCUGUCCUGUCAUUUGGUGGCGGAGCACUUCCUCAGGACUGAAAUAUCAUUCUGACACCCGGUACCCAAGCAGCUUCUUUGAACCUCGCACGCCACCCUGUGGACAUUGGAGAACCGGCCUUCGGGACAGUAACUCAGCUUGAAGCAAAAUGAAAGCGAGACCUGAAUUCAGGAGAGUCCUACACCUUCUAAACCCACAGUUAUCCCACAUCCUCUGUAAAACAGGCUCUUAAAGCAACAACCACAAAAGCGCAGGCACUCCAUACCCGGAGGACACCAGCGCAUCAACCUGAACCAUUAUGCCACCAAGAAGAGUGUGGCAGAGAGCAUGCUGGACAUGGCGCUCUUUAUGUCCAAUGCCACGCGGCUGAAAACAGUGCUGGAGCAAGGGCCAUUCUUGCAGUACUACACCACCCUCCUCACUCUCUCUCUGCUCCUGCAAGUGGUCAUUAGCCUCCUCCUUGUGGUCAUCGCCAAGCUGAACCUGAAUGAGGUAGAACACCAAUGGCGUUUAAACCAGCUCAACAAUGCUGCCACCACCUUAGUCUUCAUAACCGUGGUCAUCAACAUUUUUAUCACUGUUUUGGGGGCGCACAAGACAGACUCUGUGGCUGCCAGGACCUUCAGCAAUCCUAUUUGAUGCCUACGUAGGUCCCAGACUGAGUUUAAUACCCAGCAUCCAAUGCACCACUGGUGAAGCAGCAACAGCAGCAGUGAAAAGUCCCCAGCCAGGGAGCACCGGGGUCAUCAGCCCAGGUCUUACCUGGCAGGACGGCCAAAGGAGAAAGGGCAUUUCUCUUCUUGCUUGACCUUGCCGGUUCUACAUAGCCCAUAUGUGAGACACGCCGGAGAAUGGGCCCACUGGCCACCCAUUGCCACCCGACACCUCACUGUAGUAGGAAAAUGCCACCAGUGUUGGGUUUCUAGUCUGGAGAACCCUCUGUCUGUCUGUCCGACUUGGGUUGAUGGCCUGACUGGUUUAAGGCCAGCUGUUAGUAGCCACCAGGAGAGAGUCGUGGCCUUGGAAGGCACAGGCUGGGGCCUGGAGCUGGAAGAACUCUGGAUGAGACCAGCACCUCAGAGUGGGUCUGAGGUCUGCAGUGUACAGCUUCACCCGGGACGGUGCUGGAUCUAGACAGAAGUCUUCAUUCUCUGUUAAAAAAAAAUUACCCACCUCCCCCCACCACCCCAAAUAAAAUCUGUCCCACUGAA